rnacentral:misc_RNA from 1 species
GAGGUAAUCAAUUUUGG